rnacentral:tRNA from 1 species
GGAAAAUCCCUCGACUUUAUAAGUUGUGAGGGUUCAAGUCCCUCUAUCCCC